AGAGACCACGGAGAAGCGAGCCGAAUCCUACCAGGAGAAGGUGGCGAUGCUGCUGCUUCAGCAGCAGGCGGCAGAUCUUUAACAAGCUGCUGAGCUUGAAUCUCCCAGAGAGAGAGAGAAGGCUCUUUGGCAUCAGAUCAGAUGGGGAAGAAUGUAGGCAAGUGAGAAGAUUCACCGCCAGCACCGUAACAGAAAGGAUUGAGCAAAUGAUGGUUGCAAGGAGCAGCUGACUCUGCUUCCAGGGUAUAUCCGACUACAAGGAUUCCCUUCCAUUUUUGGUCCUGCAUUAACAACGUUCAGACUUGAUGGUAUAAUGCUGAAAAGGUUCAAAACUUGUCUUUAGCAUCAUGUGAAAAUGCAUUUUGGUUGACAAAGUCAGAUUAAUUAAUGCAGCUCUAAAUCUACUUUGGCCGGUGUUGGCUACCAGCCUAUGAACACUUAUGUGGACGUCUCCUAGAAUCCAGAAACACUUCUUAAUAAACAGACAUUGGAUCAGGUUGUAAAUUUUAAAGAAAACAAUUUCAAUUCUCUCUUUACGUUUUGAAAAGCAUCCACUGCAGCUGGUUUUGUAAUAAUAAUCUAUUUCAUGUGUAUUUUGGGGGGUACAGUACAGACGAACAGUAGAGACAGUUUCUGUUCUUCGUGGAACUUCCUUACAUUUAAGUGGGAAAAGGAGGGAAGGGUAUUCUCUUGGUUUCAGUCUAUAUCUAAAGCAGGGAUAGCCAACAUACAUAUGUUGGGACCAGCCUGAUCUCCAGGUUGCUAGAACAAUGUAACUUCUAACAGAUGGUCAGGAUCCAUAAUGAUAAACUUAGGGUCACCUAAUUUUAAGGGAUAUACAGGUGCAAAAUUCAUAUGCCUGAGUGAUAUAAAGUCACUAAAUGGAGAAAUGAGGAAGUAGGGUGCUUCUCGAAAGAUCUCCCCUUGAGGCAGACUAGUGGGUCUGUAUCCUUUCAACAUCAGGCUAAUGUAUGGCAGAUAAUAACGCAAUAAAAGUUGUACAAAAUA